GAUGAACGCUGGCGGCGUGCCUAAUACAUGCAAGUCGAGCGAACGGACGAGAAGCUUGCUUCUCUGAUGUUAGCGGCGGACGGGUGAGUAACACGUGGAUAACCUACCUAUAAGACUGGGAUAACUUCGGGAAACCGUAGCUAAUACCGGAUAAUAUUUUGAACCGCAUGGUUCAAAAGUGAAAGACGGUCUUGCUGUCACUUAUAGAUGGAUCCGCGCUGCAUUAGCUAGUUGGUAAGGUAACGGCUUACCAAGGCAACGACGCAUAGCCGACCUGAGAGGGGAUUCGGCCCACCGGAACCUAGACCCCGGUCCGACCCCCAAGGGGGGGCCCCGGUGGGAAAUCUUCCCAAAUGGGGGAAACCCUGACGGAGCAACCCCCGGUGGGGAAUGAGGGCUUUCGGUUCGAAAACCUCUUUUUUGGGGAAAAAAAAUAUUUGUAAGAAACUGUGCCCUUCUUGCCGGUCCCAAAUCAGAAGCCCCCGCCAACCUCCUG
rnacentral:rRNA from 1 species